UUUGCCAGUGGUUAGUUCUGCUUUAUGCCUGUUGUGUCCACAUGACAGUUUACUCUGUCCCUUUCACUUUCUCAAGGGCCCUGGAUUAGAUGAAACUUACAUGGUCACCCUAUGAUAACAGGCAGCCAGAGCAGCAGAGGAAAACCAGGAGGAGCCAAUAUCAUGACGGACAUUGGAUUUCAUGACAUGAGGUCCCUGGAGACUUCAGCAGCAGAUGUUUGAGUUGUGAGCAUGCAACCCGGGUUUCAGAGGGUGAGGUGAGUGAGAAGCAAAGUAAAUUAUUUUAGUAUUGUUAUUUUCUACAGGCUUAAUGAAAAAAUGAAGGGAGAAAGCGGAUUUUCAGAGUAUGGGGAACAGUGAGAGAAUUUUUCUCUGAAGAUGUCGAGCACUAGACUAUGUAUAAUUGUGGAGGCCUCAGCAUCUCAAAAAUUAAAACCAAAAUGAAGGUGCAGCAGUUGAUUGAGAGGCGCCGGAAUCAUCCAGCCGUCCUCCUCGUCAAAGUUAUGGGCAAUUUGACCUGCCAUUUAGCUGUUUCCUGGAGCCGGUUGAAUGGUUCUUAGGGCCGUUUCUACCUUGAAGACAACACAGGGCUCCAGGAUAAGAAACAUCAGAAGCCUCAACAGGAGACUGCAAAUUCUUGGCUAUUUAAUUGGAGCCUUUUGCUGCUCUUGAAACCAGCUGGAGAGAAGGAGCAAGCGAAGAGCUUGAAGAGCUGGUCUUUGAGUCAGAGCUAAGUAUAGCAUAGCCAAGUGCUUCAUCUCCCCACUCACCAUAUCGCUGUGGAUUUUGAAGGAGGUUGGCUCCAGGGAGAAAAUAUUUAAGGCUGGAGAAAUAGUUUUCUUCAGUUUGUCUUCUGUGGAUGCAAAGCACAAAUGUUA
rnacentral:lncRNA from 1 species